rnacentral:rRNA from 1 species
UACGUAGGGGGCAAGCGUUGUCCGGAAUCAUUGGGCGUAAAGAGCGUGUAGGCGGCCCGAUAAGUCCGCUGUGAAAGUCCAGGGCUCAACCCUGGAAUGCCAGUGGAAACUGUCGGGCUAGAGUCCGGAAGAGGCGAGUGGAAUUCCUGGUGUAGCGGUGAAAUGCGCAGAUAUCAGGAGGAACACCGAUGGCGAAGGCAGCUCGCUGGGACGGUACUGACGCUGAGACGCGAAAGCGUGGGGAGCGAACAGG